GAUGAACGCUAGCUACAGGCUUAACACAUGCAAGUCGAGGGGUAACGAGAGGAAAGCUUGCUUUCCUUGUCGACGACCGGCGCACGGGUGAGUAACGCGUAUCCAACCUGCCCCCAACUAGGGAAUAACCUUGCGAAAGUAAGACUAAUACCCUAUAAUUUCCUCAGAUGUCAUCUGACGAGGAAUAAAGAUUUAUCGUUUGUGGAUGGGGAUGCGUCUGAUUAGCGUGUUGGCGGGGUAACGGCCCACCAAGGCAAGGAUCAGUAGGGGUUCUGAGAGGGAGGUCCCCCACAGUGGAACUGAGACACGGUCCAAACUCCUACGGGAGGCAGCAGUGAGGAAUAUUGGUCAAUGGGCGGAAGGCUGAACCAGCCAAGUAGCGUGCAGGAUGACGGCCCUAUGGGUUGUAAACUGCUUUUAUACAGGAAUAAAGUUAGCCACGUGUGGUUAUUUGUAGGUACUGUAUGAAUAAGGACCGGCUAAUUCCGUGCCAGCAGCCGCAGUAA
rnacentral:rRNA from 1 species